UUUUUUUUUAGGUGGACACAGUAUCUUUAUGUGGUGCCGAGAAUCGAACCCAGUGCCUCACGCAUGCUAGGAGAGCGCGCUACACUUGUGCCCCAUCCCCAGCCCUUGAAUUUUUUAAGAGUCUUUAUUCAAUUACAUGCAAUUCUUUUAAAAUAUAAAUUAUGCCAUUUGUGAUGGUAUAUGCCUGUAAUCCCAGCUACUCGAAAGGCUGAGAUAGGAGGAUCACAAGUUCAAGGCCAGCCUUGGCAAUUUCGCAAGACCCUAUCUCAAAAUAAAAAAUAUAAAGGGCUGAAGAUGCAACUCAGUAAAGUACCCCUGGGUUUAAUCCUCAGUAUCUCAAAUAAAUAAAUUAAUUAAAAUACACACACACCCAAAUUAUAAAGUCAGGCGUUUUGCCACAUACCUGUAGUUCCAGCUAUUCUGGAGGCUUGAGGCAGGAUGGUUGCUUGAUCCCAGGAGUUCAAGGUCAGCUAUUCUGGAGGCUGAGGCAGGAUGGUUGCUUGAGCCCAGGAGUUCAAGGUCUAUGGAUGCUUUCACACUACCAUGGCAAUGAGUAGCUAUGACAGAGACAAUAUACACCAUACACAAUGCCUACAAUAUUUGCCUACUUAUAAAAAAAGGUUUGCCAACCCUAUUUGUUUUAUAGCACUUACUAUCUAAAAUUUGUUUUAUUUUUUGUUUAUUCAUUUAUUGUCUUGACUCUCCCACUAAAUCUAAGCAAUAGCAAGACUGAUCCACUCUCAAAAAAUAAAUAGAUAGAUAAGAUAAAACAAACAAUCAAAUAAGAUACCAAGAAGAUUUAAAUAAGACAAGGGGCUGGGAUUGUGACACAGUGGUAGUUUUGCUCACCUAACACGUGUGAGUCCUUGGAUUCAAUCCUCAGCACCACAUAAAUAAAUAAAUAAAAUAAAGGUAUUAUGUCCAUCUACUUAAAUUCUUAAAAAAAAAAAAUAGAGACAAAAGAAGUUCCCUGAAAAUUACUGAUUAAUCAUAGCAUUACAACUCCAGUCUGUUUUAAUGUUUAAACUACCCUAGGUAAUUCCAACAAAUAGC
rnacentral:lncRNA from 1 species